GGCCGCCUGGCGAAAUGGUAUCGCGUCUGACUACGAUGGAAUACCAUCACCCAUGUUUAAAGUAAUCAGGAGAUUGCAGGUUCGAGCCCUGCGGUGGUCA
rfam:Fomitiporia mediterranea MF3/22 unplaced genomic scaffold FOMMEscaffold_8, whole genome shotgun sequence.